UCCUGCGCGCAGGGAGGAAGGUCCCGGCAAGCCUGGCUGACUAAGCCUAGGCUGGGCCUGCUCCUCCACCCACCCCGAGAUGACUCUCUCUAAAGCCUCUCUUCCUUUGUCAGGAGCGCUCACCACCCUUCAGUCCUAUCCCCUUCAAAUGCCAGACUACCAGAUGGACAUGACAAUACAUUUUUAACACACCUCUGAGCUCCUCCUGAGACGGUCAGGACAGCCUUCAGGAGCAGUCUGGGCUGCUUCUAGAAAUCCAGCUUCAAGAACAGAAAACUAACUCACUGCUAAGAAAAAUAUUGACCUGAAGUCCUGCCAGGCCUCUUUCAUGGGAGAAAUAAGGCUCAUUUGUAAUGAACAGACAGCUGAGACUGCAUGCAGAUGAUGCGGAAGAGCUUGAAAAUGGGAUAUCAUUUUUGGA